GCAGUGCAUGUCGGAGCACGAUUGUUCGGAAUGCCACGCCCUUUAGGCGUGCGGUGCGGAUGUAUUGUGCUGUCAUGACUUCGGUCAUUGAUGCCCGUGUCAUGCGCGCGAUGUACCCCAUGCCGUAAAGCGAGAUGGUCAUCACGGGCAGGAAGAAGUUCCAGAAAUUGGC
rnacentral:ncRNA from 1 species